rnacentral:rRNA from 1 species
ACAGCAGUAGCCGCGGUAAGACAGAGGAUGCAAGCGUUAUCCGGAAUGAUUGGGCGUAAAGCGUCUGUAGGUGGCUUCUUAAGUCGGAUGUGAAAUCCCUGAGCUUAACUUAGGAAUUGCAUUCGAUACUGGGAAGCUAGAGUAUGGGAGAGGAUGGUAGAAUUCCAGGUGUAGCGGUGAAAUGCGUAGAGAUCUGGAGGAAUACCGAUGGCGAAGGCAGCCAUCUGGCCUAAUACUGACGCUGAGGUACGAAAGCAUGGGGAGCAAACAGGAUUAGAUACCCCCGUAGUCCCUGUCUCUUAUAC